AUUCCAUGAUGGGGACAUUCUAGGAUGUAGUCUUAAAAGCGCUCCCAUGCUUCUAGAACAGAUUCAUCAUUUUGUUGCUGAAGACUCAUAAUCUUCCCACGGAGAGC
rfam:Sorghum bicolor cultivar BTx623 chromosome 1, whole genome shotgun sequence.